AUGGGGCGUGGCUCGGGCCCGGCCAAUCAGCCCUGGGGGCGUGGCUCGGGCCCGGCCAAUCAGCCCUGGGGGCGUGGCUCGGGCCCGGCCAAUCAGCGCCGGGGGCGGGGCUUGGGGCUGGACCAAUCAGAGCCCUGCCCCCUUAUUCAUCUGAGGCAGCUACGCCACGCCCCCUUCGGCCCCCGCCCGCUGCCGCAGCCCCGCCCCGUGAACGUCGUGCGUGGUGACGUCAGAGACCAGGACGAUGCGUGGCCCGGAUGGGAGUUCGGUCCCGAUCCCGACCUGCUGAUGGGUGAGUCCGAGCCGCCUAUUGCCCUAUACAGAGCUAAGCCCCGCCCCUGCCGCCCUCCUAUUGGUCCGUGCCCUGGGAGCUCGCACGCUAUUGGCUGA
rnacentral:lncRNA from 1 species